AUUGAACGCUAGCGGCAGGCUUUACACAUGCAAGUCGAACGAGUGGCGGACGGGUGAGUAAUGUCUGGGAACCUGCCUGGUGGAGGGGGAUAACUACUGGAAACGGUGGCUAAUACCGCAUACCAUCAGAUGUGCCCAUAUGGGAUUAGCUAGUUGGUGGGGUAAAGGCUCACCAAGGCGACGAUCCGUAGCUGGUUUGAGAGGAUGACCAGCCACACUGGAACUGAGACACGGCCCAGACUCCUACGGGAGGCAGCAGUGGGGAAUAUUGGACAAUGGGGGCAAGCCUGAUCCAGCCAUGCCGCGUGUAUGAAGAAGGCCUUCGGGUUGUAAAGUACUUUUGGCAGGGAGGCGUUAUCCGCAGAAGAAGCACCGGCUAACUACGUGCCAGCAGCCGCGGUAAUAC
rnacentral:rRNA from 1 species